rnacentral:rRNA from 1 species
UACAGAGGUGGCAAGCGUUGUUCGGAAUUACUGGGCGUAAAGGGCUCGUAGGCGGCCAACUAAGUCAGACGUGAAAUCCCCAGGCUCAACCUGGGAACUGCGUCUGAUACUGGAUGGCUUGAAUCCGGGAGAGGGAUGCAGAAUUCCAGGUGUAGCGGUGAAAUGCGUAGAUAUCUGGAGGAAUACCGGUGGCGAAGGCGGCAUCCUGGACCGGCAUUGACGCUGAGGAGCGAAAGCCAGGGGAGCGAACGGG